rnacentral:rRNA from 1 species
AACGAACGCUGGCGGCAUGCCUAACACAUGCAAGUCGAACGAUACCUUCGGGUCUAGUGGCGCACGGGUGCGUAACGCGUGGGAACCUGCCCUUAGGUUCGGGAUAGCUCCCCGAAAGGGGUGCUAAUACCGGAUAAUGUCUUCGGACCAAAGAUUUAUCGCCUUUGGAUGGGCCCGCGUUGGAUUAGCUAGUUGGGAGGGUAAAAGCCUACCAAGGCGACGAUCCAUAGCUGGUCUGAGAGGAUGAUCAGCCACACUGGGACUGAGACACGGCCCAGACUCUUACGGGAGGCAGCAGUAGGGAAUAUUGGACAAUGGGCGAAAGACUGAUACAGCCAUGGCGUGUGAGUGAUGAAGGCCUUAGGGUUGUAAAGCUCUUUUAACCGCGAUGAUAAUGACAGUACCGGGAGAAUAAGCGCAGGCUCACUCCGUG